CUUUUUUAAAGUAACUAAACUAAAAAGUCACAUAUUUUUUGAGAUAGUCAUGUAUGAUCUUGUUUUUUAAUAUAUGUAGAAAUUCCUAAUCCUUAAUUUGACCGAAUCAGACUAAUAAAUGCUUUUAGAGUAUUAUCUCCGAGGUUGAUAAAUUGUGUAAUAAAAAUAGUAAAAAGAGUAUAGAAUAUUGAAAUAUAUUUUUUUUUUUUUACUGACUGGUCAAUAUUUGAAUUAAUUUCUUUUAAAUUUUAUACCAAUUCUCUGGUCACCACUGUAAAUUUAUUAUUGGUUUUUAAAUGAGUCACACAUUUGUAUUACUUAUCUCAAAAGGAUGGUCUACAAGUAUAUAUAAAUUCACAUCUCUUUGUGCAAUUUUAUCAGUGUAAAAUAUUAACAGUACACAUCACACAGCCUCAACACCAUUUAUAAUCGUCAAAAUAUAAAUAACAUGACCGAAAAAGAUCAUAUUAAGACAUUUGUAUUCUUGGAUCUGGAAACCACCGGUCUACCUUCACUAGAAAAUAAUGAAACUAAAAUAACGGAAUUCUGUAUGAUCGCAGUGCAGGCUGAACAUCUGUUGGAAGGAAUUUCAAGGGUGCAAAACAAAACUAGCUUUUGUUUUAACCCAAACAGACUGAUUUCUGGAAAAGCAACGGAACUGUCUGCACGUUUUCUGAUGAAUUGAAUUCCACACUACCUCCAUCAGGAACCAGGGAGAUUCUUUAUUAGUGACAACUUUACCCCUCAGAGCUAUCUCUACAAGUUCUCGAUAGGAUUUAGAUCAGUGCUUGAAGGGUUGUGGACAUGGGGUGAAGAAAAAUAAUGUCAUAGAAUUUUGACUGGAGGUGUUAAUCCUGAGCUUCUUAAAUAAAGAAAAAAUGAGCAGGGAUAGUGGUGAUUUCUGUAACGUAUACAACAAAUCUGUAGCUAUGACAGAAAGCAAUUUAAGAAGAUGAGACUCAAAGAUUUUAAUACAUUGAAUGGUUGAAUAGAUAUGACAUUAAUUUAAUACAGACCAAACGUUUAUAUUGAGCCAGAAGAUCGAACAAUAAAAAAAGAUAGAAGAAAGUUCUGUGCAAGGGAAUUCAGAUCUAAGAAGAAAAAUUUGUUUAGUAAAGAGAUCCAUUUGUACAUAAAGGCAUCACUGAACGAUGAUUAUUCCGUUAGAUUUGGGAACAAACUUCCCAGUAUUUAUUGCUAUAUGUUAAAAUGGAUACUCCUGAACCAGAAGACUUAAUUUCUUUAUAACCAAACACCAAGAACUAUGCUGGAUUCUACGACAAACGGUAGUACCAAAACUAAAUGUAAUUAAACACACUAAUGGUAUUCUAAGGUUGAUUAACUUGUCGACACGCCCCUACAACAACUGUGACUUCAUCAACAGUUACCAAGACGGUCUAAGUAAUUUUGGAGGGUCUGACUCAACAUCUCUUAAUUUAAAAUCAUCAACUGAUUUAACCUUCUCCAACGUGACCAAAGGCAUGAACAUCCCCUACGGUACCUCCGGCGAUGGUUACAGUUCUCCGCCUGACUGUCAAGGUCGUUUCUCCAUAACACGCCUCUACAACAACUGCUGAUCAACAGUUACCAAGACGGUUUAAGUAACUUUUGGAAGGUCUGACUCAACGUCACUUCAUUAAAAAUCAUCAACUGAUUUCACCUUCUCCAACGUGAUCAAAGGCAUGAACAUCUCCUACGGUACCUUCGGCGAUUGUUACAGUUCUCCACCUGACUGUCAUCAAGGUCGUUUCUCCGUAACACACCUCUACAACAACUUCGACUUGAUCAACAGUUAUCAAGACGGUUUAAGUAACUUUUGGAAGGUCUGACUCAACGUCAUUUCAUUAAAAAUCAUCAACUGAUUUAACCUUCUCCAACGUGACCAAAGGCAUGAACAUCCCCUACGGUACCUUCGGCGAUUGUUACAGUUCUCCGCCCGACUGUCAUCAAGGUCGUUUCUCCAUAAUACGCCUUUACAACAACUGCGACUUGAUCAACAGAUACCGACACAGUUUAAGUAACUUUUGGAAGGUCCGACUCAACGUUACUUCAUUGAAAAUCAUCAACUGAUUUCACCUUCUCCAACGUGACCAAAGGCAUGAACAUCCCCUACGGUACCUUCGGCGAUUGUUACAGUUCUCCGCCCGACUGUCAUCAUGAUCGUUUCUCCAUAAUACGCCUCUACAACAACUGCGACUUGAUCAACAGAUACCGACACAGUUUAAGUAACUUUUGGAAGGUCCGACUCAACGUUACUUCAUUGAAAAUCAUCAACAGAUUUCUCCUUCUCCAACGUGAUCAAAGGCACGAACAUCUCCUAUGGGACCUCCAGCGAUUGUUACAGUUCUCCGCCUGACUGUCAUCACGGUCGCUUUUCCAUAACGCGCCCCUACAACAACUGCGACUUGAUCAACAGAUACCGACACAGUUUAAGUAACUUUUGGAAGUUCUGAUUCAGCAUCUCUUCAUUUAAAAUCAUCAACUGAUUUAACCUUCUCCAACGUGACCAAAGGCACGAACAUCUCCUACGGUACCUCCAGUGAUUGUUACAGUUCUCCGCCUGACUGUCAUCAAGGUCGCUUCUCCAUAGAUUUGUCCACUGCGACGUUCCACCUAGCUCGGAGGUGCGGAGGAUCAAACGCUGUUACCCAACGUCACCGCCCGCAUCCGCCCAACAGACGUGGCAGUAAAUCGCUAAAUCGGACUCUUAUAUUUUGUUAGAUUUUUGUCGCGUUCAGUAUUACGUUUAAAACUUUUCACUAUCUCUCCUCUAUGAUUUUCUGUUUAUUGAGAGGUUUGUAGUUUGGUACCACCAUGACAAUUUACCCUUGUUAAAUGUAUGUAAUGUAAUUUGUGAAUUUUACUUCAAAGAAAAGUAUUUUCUUUAAUUUUACUACCUAAAAUAAGAGAAAAUAUUUUGUUUAGAAUGUUUUCUUUUAUUAUUUCCUACUCGAACUUCUACCACUAUUUUAAUUACUGCUCGUAUGUAUUAUUAUUAUUAUUUAUAGUCAAUUGAAUGUAACUUAUUUUAUAUUAUAUUGUUUUGUGGUAGAAUAAUUGAAUAUGUCCAGAAACAUAUUGUUUUAAUACUGAAAGUUGUUGUUUGUUUCGAUUCAUUUAGUUGUUCAAUUCACUGACAUUAACUUUUUUGUAAUAGUCAAAAAUUAAUAAAAAUUUGUUUUAUUUUAUUAGUAAUAAAGU